rnacentral:tRNA from 6 species
GGUCCCGUAGCUCAGUUGGAUAGAGCACCAGAUUCCUAAUCUGGGGGUCGCGCGUUCGAAUCGCGCCGGGAUCACCA